AUAGGAGUUUCGCCAGACUGGUCUGA
rnacentral:sRNA from 1 species